UUUGAUCCUGGCUCAGAUUGAACGCUGGCGGCAUGCCUUACACAUGCAAGUCGAACGGCAGCGCGGGAGCAAUCCUGGCGGCGAGUGGCGAACGGGUGAGUAAUACAUCGGAACGUGCCCAAUCGUGGGGGAUAACGCAGCGAAAGCUGUGCUAAUACCGCAUACGAUCUACGGAUGAAAGCAGGGGAUCGCAAGACCUUGCGCGAAUGGAGCGGCCGAUGGCAGAUUAGGUAGUUGGUGAGGUAAAGGCUCACCAAGCCUUCGAUCUGUAGCUGGUCUGAGAGGACGACCAGCCACACUGGGACUGAGACACGGCCCAGACUCCUACGGGAGGCAGCAGUGGGGAAUUUUGGACAAUAGGCGAAAGCCUGAUCCAGCCAUGCCGCGUGCAGGAUGAAGGCCUUCGGGUUGUAAACUGCUUUUGUACGGAACGAAACGGCCUUUUCUAAUAAAGAGGGCUAAUGACGGUACCGUAAGAAUAAGCACCGGCUAACUACGUGCCAGCAGCCGCGGUAAUACGUAGGGUGCAAGCGUUAAUCGGAAUUACUGGGCGUAAAGCGUGCGCAGGCGGUUAUGUAAGACAGUUGUGAAAUCCCCGGGCUCAACCUGGGAACUGCAUCUGUGACUGCAUAGCUAGAGUACGGUAGAGGGGGAUGGAAUUCCGCGUGUAGCAGUGAAAUGCGUAGAUAUGCGGAGGAACACCGAUGGCGAAGGCAAUCCCCUGGACCUGUACUGUCGCUCAUGCACGAAAGCGUGGGGAGCAAACAGGAUUAGAUACCCUGGUAGUCCACGCCCUAAACGAUGUCAACUGGUUGUUGGGUCUUCACUGACUCAGUAACGAAGCUAACGCGUGAAGUUGACCGCCUGGGGAGUACGGCCGCAAGGUUGAAGCUCAAAGGAAUUGACGGGGACCCGCACAAGCGGUGGAUGAUGUGGUUUAAUUCGAUGCAACGCGAAAAACCUUACCCACCUUUGACAUGUACGGAAUUCGCCAGAGAUGGCUUAGUGCUCGAAAGAGAACCGUAACACAGGUGCUGCAUGGCUGUCGUCAGCUCGUGUCGUGAGAUGUUGGGUUAAGUCCCGCAACGAGCGCAACCCUUGUCAUUAGUUGCUACAUUCAGUUGGGCACUCUAAUGAGACUGCCGGUGACAAACCGGAGGAAGGUGGGGAUGACGUCAAGUCCUCAUGGCCCUUAUAGGUGGGGCUACACACGUCAUACAAUGGCUGGUACAAAGGGUUGCCAACCCGCGAGGGGGAGCUAAUCCCAUAAAACCAGUCGUAGUCCGGAUCGCAGUCUGCAACUCGACUCCGUGAAGUCGGAAUCGCUAGUAAUCGUGGAUCAGAAUGUCACGGUGAAUACGUUCCCGGGUCUUGUACACACCGCCCGUCACACCAUGGGAGCGGGUUCUGCCAGAAGUAGUUAGCUUAACCGCAAGGAGGGCGAUUACCACGGCAGGGUUCGUGACUGGGGUGAAGUCGUAACAAGGUA
rnacentral:rRNA from 1 species